AAAGCGUUAAUUUAUAGACAGCAUUGCGUUCCUUGCAGAACACCUUUCAAAAGACCUCUUCAUCAAGUAGAUAAGAC
ensembl:misc_RNA